GCCUUCGUAGUGUAGUGGUCAGCAUGCUGGCCGUGUAUUCCAGAGGUCCGUGGUUCGAUUCCAGGCGAGGCCG
rnacentral:tRNA from 1 species